CUAGACUCAGUCUUUGAGGAACACAGCGACAAGUGACAUAUGAUGUAAAGUGCAAGCAUUUUU
rnacentral:rRNA from 14 species